CGAACCACGUUGAUUUCUUGCAGUGGAAGAGUGAAGUUCAACGUAUUGCAAAAGAAAUGGAAAGCUCCUUCUUCACGUAUUUAGCCGAAGAAGAGGAAUUGUACGUUUUGACCUCCUCUUUAACCGAUACCUCUUUAUUGACAUCAAAUGUAAACAUCUCGUGUGUUGAGACUGAAGACUAUCUUUCUGCCCUGUCAAAAAAGAUAAUUCAAAGAUACUCCACCGUUGAGGAUAAACGUAAAGAGUUAAAUCACUGACUGCCAAGCUUUGUCGUGAUAUAACCGCCGAUGUACUGCUUGAUAGAGGAAAAA